GAGAGGCUGGCCUCGGCAUGGUCCAGAAGCCCCCUCAAGUGGGAGCACAGCCCAGCCCCGAUCAAGCAUGACCGGGGGUCCCCAGGCAUCUGGGGCUGUUACCAGAAAUGAAAAAUAAAUGGCACCACUUGAAGUUAUAGGCACUUGCUGACAAAAAGCUACACCACUUAAAGGCAUGAAUCACCAUCAUGUGUGAGAGCGUGUGCACGCGUGUUCUUUCCCCACUUGCAGAAGACAGCCAAUGCUUUUAAGCUUUGCUUUGAAAAAAAUGUUUUUUUUAACUCAGAUAAUUUUCCAGGAUUUUAUUCAGCUGAAUUCCUCAAAUGCGCUUUGUUUUUCCAAUCAUGGAUCAGCAGAGGCAAUUUUCAGAAUGACUCUGGAGGGAUUACUUUUCUAACGUGUUUCUUCCCAGAGACCCGCUUGCCUCCUUUUGAGCUGAACGUUACUUCCUUCUCCCAUGAUAGAGAAACUCUGAUGGCAUCAAAACUGUAAAUACAAAAUUAGGCAUAAAAGCAUAUUUAUCUAGAGGAAAGCUGUGCAAGUGAGGUGCUCUGAAGUUCAAUCCUCAGGAGUCUGAUGAUAAACUCGUUUCUCAUGGCUUCCUUGAUCCUUACCCACCAUUGAAAUCGCUAAGCUUGAAGCCACAGAAUGCCUGGAUCUCAGGAGGCCCUUAAUGCUUCCAUUCACAGUCUUGGCCCCUGGGACUGCAUAUCAAUAAUCCCAGGUCCGCCUAGGGGAGAAGAGACCUGGGAUCCAGGUGCCCCUGCCUCCCACUGCCCUAGCUGGCAGCCACCUGGCUGUGAUGGAGGCCAUCCCACACCAGCCAGCUCCACACCAACCUACCGGCGCCAUGAGCAAGCCCAGUCUUCAUCAUGUGAACCCGGCCUUGACCACAAGUCAAGACCACCCAAGUGCUUAGACUUGUAAGCCAAAUAAAUAAUUACUGUUUUCGAGGUAUUAAGUUCUAGGGUGG